GGGCCCGCACAAGCGGUGGAGCAUGUGGUUUAAUUCGACGCAACGCGAAGAACCUUACCUGAGCUUGACAUGCACGGGACAGCCCUGGAAUCAGGGUUUCUCUUCGGAGUCCGUGUGCAGGUGCUGCAUGGCUGUCGUCAGCUCGUGUCGUGAGAUGUUGGGUUAAGUCCCGCAACGAGCGCAACCCUUACCUUUAGUUGCCAGCGGGUUAUGCCGGGAACUCUAGAGGGACUGCCGGUGACAAACCGGAGGAAGGUGGGGAUGACGUCAAGUCCUCAUGGCCUUUAUGCUCAGGGCUACACACGUGCUACAAUGGCCGGUACAAAGAGUCGCAAGACCGCGAGGUGGAGCUAAUCUCAUAAAACCGGUCUCAGUUCGGAUUGGAGUCUGCAACUCGACUCCAUGAAGUUGGAAUCGCUAGUAA
rnacentral:rRNA from 1 species